UUUUUUUUUUUUUUUUUGCCCCUCCCCCCCUAUAUUCAAUGUUCUAACUGGGAAAAAUAUGCAGCCAAGAAUACUUUAUCCAGCAAGACUGUCAUUCAGAAUAGAAGGAGAGAUAAAGAGACCAAGACAAGUAAAAACUAAAAGAGUUUGUGAACACUAACCCAGCCUUACAAGAAAUAUUAAAGGGGACUCUGUGAGUGGGGAAGAAAGAAGACCAAAAGCAACAAAGACUAGAAAGGAACAGAGAACAUCACCAGAAACACCAACUUUACAGGUAACAAUGACAGUAAAUUAAUAUAUUUCAAUAAUCACUGAAUAUAAAUGGACCAAAUGCUCCAAUCAAAAGACACAGAGUAUCAGAAUGGAUAAAAAACAAAAUUCAUCUAUAUAUAUAUUUCCUGCAAGAGACUCAUUUGAGACCCAAAGAGACCUGCAGAUUGAAAUUGAGGGGGUGGAGAACCAUUUAUCAUGCCAAUGGAUGUCAAAAGAAAGCUGGAGUAGCCAUACUUAUAUCAGACAAACUAGAUUUUAAGCCAAAGUCUGCAUUAUAUCAUGAUUAAGGAUUCUGUCAAGAAGAUCUAACAAUUAUAAAUAUUUAUGCCUCCAACUUGGAAGCACCCAAAUACAUGAAUUGAUUUUUUUUAAAGAUUUAUUAAUUCAUGAGAGACACACAGAGAGAUAGAGACAUAGGCAGAGAGAGAAGCAGCCUCCCUGUGGGGAGCCUGAUGUGGGACUCGAUCCCAGGACCUGGGGAUCACUGGGUCCAGACCAGAGCCAAAGGCAGACACUCAACCACUGAGCCACCCAGGCAUCCUAUAUGAAUUAAUAAUAAACAUAAAUUCAUUGAUAAUAACACAAUAAUAGUAGGGGGCUUUAAACCCCCGCUACAGCAAUAGACAGAUUACCUAAGCAUAAAAUCAAUAAGGAAACAAUUUCAUUGAAUGACACACUGGACCAGAUGAACAUAACAGAUUUACUCAGAAAAUUUCAUCCUAAAGCAGCAGAAUACACAGUGUUUUCAAGUGCACAUAGGACAUUCUCCAGAACAGAUCACAUACUAGGUCACAAAUUAGUCCUCAACAAAUACAAGGUCAGACCAUGAAUAUUUUCAGAACACAACGCUAUGAAAUUUGAAGUCAUCCACAAAAAAAACUUGGGAAGACUACAAAAAUAUGGAGGUUAAAGAAAAUCCUACCAAAUAAUGAAUGGAUUAAUCAAGAAAUUAAAGAAGAAAUUAUAAAGUACAUGGAAACAAAUGAAAAUGAAAGUAUGACCGUCCAAAACCUUUGGGAUGCAGCAAAGGCAGUCCUAAGAGGGAAGUGUAUAGCAACACAGGCAUACCUCAAGAAGCAAGAAAAAAUCUCAAAUAAAUAACCUAACUUAACCUAAAGGAGCUAACAGAACAGCAGGUAAAGCCUAAAGUCAGCAGAAAAGGGAAAUAAUAAAAAUUAGAGCUUACAUAAAUGAUACUGAAAUAAAAAACCCCUGUAGAAUAGAUCAAUGAAACCAAGAGCUGGUUCUUUGAAAAAAUUAAUAAAACUGAUAAACCCCUAUCCAGACUCAUCAAAAAGAAAUGGGAGAGGACCCAAAUAAAUAAAAUCACAAAUGAAGGAAAAGCUACUUGAGACCUAAAGACCUGUUUGAGAAGGUGGCAAUGGAGCAAGGAUCUGGAUGACAAGAAAGAACAGCAGUGAAGUCAUGAGGAUGAAACUCCAGGCAGGAGGCUUGUUUAAAGGCUUGAAGGGGCAUAAGCUUGGCUUAUGAGAAGCAGAGAAGGCAGACCAUUGAGUUCACAUUUGUGUCUUUGUAAGCAAGGACAAGAAUGGAAGGAGGCAGAGUCAUACUAGGUCUGGAAGCCAACAUAGAGUCUGGGUUAUAUUCUUUGGGAGAUCAGAAGUCAUUAAAAGACAUUGUGAAAUGAAAUCCCAUUUAUGUAGUUUAAAAAUCAUCUGAUUUGUGUAUAGAGUGGACUGUAUGGAUGCAAGAGUGAAAGCAUGGAGACCAGUUCAGCAGCCACAGCAGUGUUUCAGGUGAGAAUUUGAUAUGAAUAAACGAAGGCUGAUAUCCUAUCACUUCAAGGCAGAAAACAACCCUGUCUGCUAGAAUGGAUGUGUUGAGAGGAUAAGGGAGGACAAUAGAAGAAUAAAGAAGAAAAAGAAUUUAAAAAUCUGGAUGUUCAGCUUUAGCGAAUAGCUGGGUGGGGAUUCUAUUUAUUAAAUAUUAAGAGCGUGAAAGACAGUGAAUAAGGAGAUAAUCAAGACCUCUGGGUGGGCCUCAAGAAAUAUAUGGAGUUUGAGUUGAGAAUGAGCAACUAAAAUGGGCUAGGGAAAUAAAAAGCCAGGUAUAUGGACUGAGGGUUCUGGGGAGAGGCAAGGUUGGAGUACAGAUAAAGACCUAGGAGUCAUUUUUAAAAGAGGCUUUAUAGAAAUAGCCUGGGAAGAUGGCAGAGGAGGGGGAUCCUAAGCUCACCCCAUCCCACAGAUAUACCUAUACAACAGUCAUACAAGAGUAACCCAGAAAACAAACUGAAAACUAGCAUAACAAGCUCUAUGAUUAAUUGUAGAGAGAAGGCUACAUUGCAAAAGACAGGAAGGGUAGAGAUGCCAUCACAGGAGGAACACCACAAACAGGGAGAAGGGAAAGGAAUAGACCCUCCACCAGGCACCCCAGACAGGAGGACCUGCCCUAGGAGGAUAUAAGAUUUGGCUUUGAAAACCAGUGGGGCUUAAUGCAAGUUUUUACAACCAGUGGUGCUUACCUUCAGGUACUUAAAAAAUCAGCAGGCUUGGCUCUGUGAGAGGCCAGGCCAUAAGAAACAGUCCUGCCUUUAAGAAUCGGCGUAACAGGGGGAUCCCUGGGUGGCGCAGCGGUUUAGUGCCUGCCUUUGGCCCAGGGUGCAAUCCUGGAGACCCGGGAUCGAAUCCCACGUCAGGCUCCCGGUGCAUGGAGCCUGCUUCUCCCUCUGCCUGUGUCUCUGCCUCUCUCUCUCUCUGUGUGACUAUCAUAAAUUUAAAAAAAAAAAAAAAAAAAAAAAGAAUCGGCAUAACAAACAACUCAGAGAGGGAGCAUUGAAGCAGCAGUUGGAAAGGUGCCUGGGGCAUAUAUACAGAUUUAUUUACUAAUCUCAGAAUAUGCGCUGGAAGGGCAGGGAUCUUUAUGAGAAUUCAACAAAACCUAAUGGGCACUACUUUUCUCCUUGCCACCAGCCUAGAUGCAGAUACCCCAGACACCUGUGGGAACUAGUGAGAACAGUCACCACCUUGCUUGCUAAAACACCAUGCCCUCAGUGCUCUCCUGCAAACACGCCCCAUCUAACCAGCCCCACUCGCAAGGAGUCCCUCCAAAGUAACUCUGGUCAAGUCUCAUCCUGCAAGGAGACCUGUUAAUACCUUGCUAACACCAUGUGCCAUACCCCUACCUUCACUUGUGGAUCUGGUCCAUCCAUUUCACUCUACUGGGCUUCUCUGGGCAGGAGUCCCUCCAAAGUAAUGCCUGACCCAUCUCAUUCUCCAAGCAGCACUGACAGUGGCCAGCACCACUCCAAAGUGACUCUUGCCCUGAGGAGAGAAGAUAACCACAUACUAUUCGAUUGCAGCCUAGCAGUAGUAGGCUGAGGGCAAACAUCUGAUCUGACUGCCAGCACUGUCCACCAACAAAAACUUCACAGGGGGUAUCACAAAGAGAGAGCCCUGAAGUUUGGGGUCACUGUAACCUCAACAGACAGAUUAGGGCCAGACCCUGGGUCUGACUUCAGGUCCCACUCAGAGUAUAAUGCAGGGACAGCACCAUAUAGUUCCAUGUGAUCCUAGUUCUGGCAGACAGGUUGAGAGCAGGCCCAACUACAAGUCCAAGGCAGCCCCCAGACUGGCCCCAUAGAGCAUAGGACCAAAUCCUACCACAGCAAAGAGAGCCAUUCCAGAUGACUGGACUGAAGGCAAAUGUGGCUCAACCACAUUAGAGUGUGUGCAACGCAUAGAAGACACCCUGAAGGGACGCCUAGGUGGUUCAGCGGUUCAGUACUUGCCUUAGGCCCAGGGUGUGAUCCUGGAGUUCUGGGAUCAAAUCCCACAUCAGGCUCCCUGAAUGGAGCCUGCUUCUCCCUUUGCCUGUGUCUCUGCCUCUCUUUCUCUGUAUCUCUAUGAAUAAAUAAAUAAAAUCUUAAAAAAAAAAAAAAAAAAA
rnacentral:lncRNA from 1 species